UCUUGGAAAUUGCUGAUUGUGGGUUGAUUUCAUUGAGCUCCCUAUGACUGUGUUUUCCUACAAUCUGAACCUUGAGAAUGCUGUUCUGUAACUAUUUUCCCUACCCAAAUACAAUAAUGAGCAUAGGUUAUCCUAUUGCCUUGGCAUGGCAUUAGACUAGUACCAUCUGAGAACUUUCUUUGUAGGGAGUAUGUUUACUAAUUCAGUGGUCCCAAUGUACCUUUAUAUCAAGAAAACUCGACUUUGAAUUGGGCCACAGAGGUAAUCAGGAAGUUACUGAAUGCCGUUUCCUCCCUAGGCUCCAGGUGCGCGUCGCAGCUGCUGUAAUUUGCUGAAGUAUGCAUGCACAAAGUAGAAAGUUAAACAAUGGUCUGCAGCAUAUUGCUUGCUGUAUAUUGCAGCCUUAGUCUAAUCAUAAUGUGAGGUUUCAGCUGAUAACUAGUUUGUGGCACACUUUGUAGAUUCCAAUCUUAGUCUAAUAAUUUGUGACUGGUUUCAGUUUUUGAGGUUGGGGCAACAAGCACUCAAACUUGAUUUAUAUGCAUUAUAUGCUUUCGUGCCUGUAGUACUAGUAUAUAAUAAUGGCAUUCAUA